CUUCACUUUCACAUCACACUAUUAUUGAUACAGACAGUGAAUGAAACGAAUGCAGUGAUUAUAGUUUAUACUGAUUAUACUUAUAGAUCUACCAGUUGAUAAUCAUCAUCAUCAUAGAUAAUAAUCUAGACUAGUAUUCUAGAUCUAUAAAUAAUCAUAGUCACCGUGAUAGUGCCCUUUUUAGUCAAUGUAGUCAAGUCAAGAUAGUGGAACGUAAACUCGAAGGUUUAAUACAAUACAGUAUAAGCUAUGAUUAUUAACAAGUAGAACCAUGCCAACCAGUUCUGAUGAUGUACCAGAAUGGCUCAAGGAUCAUACUUAUACUAUUUCUACUCUCUGGGCAGACAUUAAUAAUAUUGGCAUCCAUUCAAUAUUUAUUUUAUGUUUGGAAAUGGAAGAAAAAGGCAUGCAUUCCUGACAAGUCAAUGAUUGGUUGCACCUCUAAAGAUAACUUUCUGUUAUGAGAAAAGAUGAGAUUCUUGGACUCCUGCAUAGCACCACCAGAAAGGAAAAUCCCAUCAUGUUGCAAAAUAAAAGUCUUGGACCAAUUUUAAUUUAAGAUAUAUAUAUUAUACUGUAAGCUCUAUACAUAUUUAUGUGUAUCCUGUCAUUCAGCCAACAGGUUUGGAUUUAGUAUUUCUUUAAAUCUGUUUGAUAUUGUACUUGAAAACUAUUAAUCUGAGCCCCAUUAAAACAAUAGGGAGUGCAGUGAAUGAGUGGUAAAGCACUUGGCUUCUGAACUGAGGGUUCCUGGGUUCGAUUAAGACUGGGAUUUUCAAUUUCAGAAUUCAAAAGGCUAGGGAUACAUGGCAAUAGUAAGGAAUAAGUAAAGGCAGUUUGGGGAUCCAUGGCUGAAUGGUUAAGUCAUGGGUUUGAAUCUCUGUGAAGACUCAGAUUAAAAUUUUUUUUAGAUUUUUGGGUGCCCCUGAGUCCACCUAACUCUAAUGGGUAGCUGACUUUCGUUUUGGAAAGUAAAGAUGGUUGGUUGUUGUGCUGGCCACAUGAUGCACUGGCCAAAGAAUCAAAUGACCCUAUAGAUUGUGACGUCUGAAAUGGGAUUUUUUUUCAAAAGGUGGUUGGUUGUUGUGCUGGGUACAUGACACCCUCGCUAACCAUGGGGCACAGAAACUGAUAAACUUUAUAUCAUCUGCCCCAUAGAUUGCAAGAUAUGUAAGGGAAAUUUUACUUUUUUAAAAUUAAAAUAAGAAUCUAUCAAAAGUAAACAUAAAAUAUGGUGCAUUCUCCUUAAAACUAAAACCUGGUGCGAAGGUUUAAAAUGUUGGCAAAAAAAAGCAACAUCAUAUAUUCUUAAUUCCCUUUGCAAAACUUACUGAGAAGAAUAUGCAUGUUGUUCCCUCAUAAGUUUCUUGACAGAGGAAAUCUUGUUUAUAUUAGAUUUGAAUUAAGCAAAUUAAGAAAAAAAUUAUAAUCAUUAUUUCA